GAUGAACGCUAGCGGCAGGCUUAACACAUGCAAGUCGAGCGAGAACGCUCCUUCGGGAGUUAUUAGAGCGGCGAACGGGUGCGUAACGCGUACACAACCUACCUUUCAAUAAGGAAUAGCCUCGGGAAACUGGGAUUAAUACCUUAUAGUAUUACACUUUCGCAUGUUAGUGUAAUUAAAGCUCCGGCGUUGAAAGAUGGGUGUGCGUCCCAUUAGCUUGUUGGUGAGGUAAAGGCUCACCAAGGCGACGAUGGGUAGCUGGUCUGAGAGGACGAUCAGCCACACGGGCACUGAGACACGGGCCCGACUCCUACGGGAGGCAGCAGUGAGGAAUAUUGGGCAAUGGACGCAAGUCUGACCCAGCCAUGCCGCGUGCAGGAUGACGGUCCUAUGGAUUGUAAACUGCUUUUAUGAGAGAAGAAACCCCUGGAUUCAUCCGGGGCUGACGGUAUCUCAAGAAUAAGCACCGGCUAACUCCG
rnacentral:rRNA from 1 species